GAGUCGAACGCCCCGCAAGGGGAGUGGCAGACGGGUGAGUAACACGUGGGAACGUCCCCCUCGGUUCGGGAUAACUCAGGGAAACUUGAGCUAAUACCGGAUACGUCCGAGAGGAGAAAGAUUUAUCGCCGAGGGAUCGGCCCGCGUCUGAUUAGCUAGUUGGUAGGGUAACGGCCUACCAAGGCGACGAUCAGUAGCUGGUCUGAGAGGAUGACCACCCACACUGGGACUGAGACACGGCCCAGACUCCUACGGGAGGCAGCAGUGGGGAAUCUUGGACAAUGGGCGCAAGCCUGAUCCAGCCAUGCCGCGUGAGUGAUGAAGGCCUUAGGGUUGUAAAGCUCUUUCGGCGGGGACGAUAAUGACGGUACCCGCAGAAGAAGCCCCGGCUAACUUCGUGCCAGCAGCCGCGGUAAUACGAAGGGGGCUAGCGUUGUUCGGAAUUACUGGGCGUAAAGCGCACGUAGGCGGACAUUUAAGUUGGAGGUGAAAGCCUUGGGCUCAACCCAAGAAUUGCCCUUUGAUACUGGAUGUCUC
rnacentral:rRNA from 1 species